rnacentral:misc_RNA from 1 species
CUUUGAUGGUGAUAAUACUAUUGAAAUAAACAAAACAAAGAAAAAGAUAAAAUGGCUAGCAAGCAAGCCCCAUGAACCCAAUUCCCAUGCUAGCUAAGCUAGCCCCAGCUUAUAGCUACCAUUCAACAAAAAUGAUCUGUACAUGCCCUUCUUCUACCAUUUAUUCUCUAUAUAUAGAUUCCCCUAACAUGCUAUUUUGUAACAGCCCAUCUAUGCCAGCUAUGCUCUCCUUUUUCUACAAACUUCUACUCUCUUCUCUGGAAGCUUUUGUGACCAUUGGGCCUUCCUCCACUCUUGCUCUUCUAAACUACCAUCUAAUGUAACCCAUAAGCUUCGAAGUCUGGGCUCAUUUCUUCCUUCUACAUUAUUCAUAUCAAAAAUACCAUCUUCCAUAUAAAAUUUAAACCCUAAGAAAUCAUCAAACAUCCAA